rnacentral:rRNA from 1 species
UACGUAGGGUGCGAGCGUUAAUCGGAAUUACUGGGCGUAAAGCGUGCGUAGGCGGUUCGUUAAGUCAGCUGUGAAAGCCCCGGGCUCAACCUGGGAACUGCGGUUGAAACUGGCGAACUAGAAUCUGGCAGAGGGGGGUGGAAUUCCACGUGUAGCAGUGGAAUGCGUAGAGAUGUGGAGGAACACCGAUGGCGAAGGCAGCCCCCUGGGUCAAGAUUGACGCUCAUGCACGAAAGCGUGGGGAGCAAACAGG